AUGUGGAUCAUUCUUGGGUUACAAUCAGUCAACCUAGUCGUUGACUCCUUGUUCCUUGGAACUAACAACCUUUCUUCGAAGUAGCAUCUCUGACCAUCUUUUUUGGUGGUCGAGAUGAUGGGGAAUUCACCUUAGAAGGGGAUCGCGAUCGUGGACUCUCUGUGUGUCUUACGCGACCGAUCCGACGAAAUCCUUCUCCCACUUCCAUGGACAGACUCACGGCGAGUUUGGCCAUGGGGCGGCUGGGUUGCGGGGGUGGUGAAUGUAACCUUCCAGUCGUGUCAAUACAACGCUCAACGAUGGAUGUCUCGGCUUGGUGAUCGAUGAAGGACGCAGCGAAGUGCGACAAGUGUCAUGACUUGCAGAUUCCCGAGAGCUGACAAAUUUCUGAAUGCAAAUGGCGGCCGCUAAAACGGCCAUGUAUUGUAGAGUGUAGUUGUUCCUACUCAUCAUCCCCUUGGGAGCCUUGUGCCGUUCAGAGGUCUCUCUGCUCGGCUUUUGCCCCCAUAGGAGGCAUCUGCGCUUGCAGUCCCAUCAUGGGGCCACGAGCGUGAAAAUCAAGAGUGGGAAGCUGGCUCUCUCCCGCACCAGCGGGGGAGUGCUUGCUUUCCUACUUCGAACUGUCCGACAGUCAUCUGCGAUUCUUCGCAGAUGACUUGGAGGAAUUCCCGAAGUAACCCAAACUCUCUCCAUCUAACAAUCCACCUCUGCAAUGCAGGAGAACCCGCUGAACUUAAGCAUAUCAUUUAGCGGAGGACAAGAAAACAACAGUGAUUCCCUGAGUAACGGCGAGUGAACAGGGAACAGCCUAUGCUUGAAUCCGUGGCGGAAGGAACCGGAAGCCAUGGAAUUGUAGUGCAAGGACCGAGGGGUGCUGCCACAGCCAGACGAAGCGUUAUCGAACGUGCCACCAUGGAGGGCGAACGUCCCGUCACGUCUGUUCGCGUGGUUGCUACAUCCCCGAGGCUCCAAGAGUCGCGCAGUUUGAUAGUGCUGUGCAAAUCGCAGGUGUAUUUCUGCGAAGGCUAAAUAUUGCACCAAGACCGAUAGCGAACAAGUAGAGUGAUCGAAAGAUGAAAAGCACUUUGGAAAGAGAGUGAAAAAGCCCCUGAAAUCGUUGAGCGCCAAGGGUACGAGACCCAUUUGGCCGCCUUGCGUAAGCGAGGCAUGUCAGUGCCAGUUGAUGCCUUCUGCGCUGAGUUCGUCGUCGGAGUCCUUCGGGCCUGCGAGGCGCGAUUCGGAUAGCAGCGAGGUGCCGACUGGGACACGGGCCGUAGCCGAAAGUCUGUGCUGGCGUUACGGACUUGAAGCGUGCGAUACUUUCUCCGGGAGGUGUCCAUGCCAAGGUUCAGUGGCGUCACGCGGCCGCAAGCGAUCGGUCUUUGCUGACACCGGUGCUCUGCCGGGGAGAUGGUCUUUUACCACCCGUCUUGAAACACGGACCAAGGAGUCUACCUAAUGGGCGAACCUUUGAGUGUCAAACUCAACAAGGUGCAAUGAAAGUGGGUUCCCGUGAAGUUGUGAGGCCUACUCACGACAUGCAACGGGGCACGGUCCUUAUCGUAUGUGAAAGGGAUCUGAAGCAAAGUCCAUUAGCUGGGACCCGAAAGAUUGCGAGCUUUUCCUGGGCCGAUGGAAGUCAGGGGAAACCUUGAUGGACGAUCGAACGCAGUGCUGACGUGCAAAUCGCUUGUCAGAUCUGGGUAAAGGGGCGAAAGACUCAUCGAGCAAUCUAGUAGCUGGUUCCCUC
rnacentral:misc_RNA from 1 species